AAAGUCUAAUCUGCCCUAUGAUUUAUUGUAUUAAAUGGCCGCGAUAUUUUGAUCGUGCUAAGGUAGCAUAAUAAUUAGUUUUUUAAUUGAGAACUGGAAUGAAUGAUUGGACGAGAGAAAGGCUGUCUCAAUUUAAUUUAAUUAGAAUUUUAUUUUUAAGUAAAAAAGCUUAAAUGGAUUUAAAAGACGAGAAGACCCUAUAGAGUUUAAUAUAAAAUAUAUUUUUAAUAAUAAAGUAUUUUAAGUUUAUAAUUAUAUUUUAUAUUUAGUUGGGGUGACUAAAAAAUUGAAUUAACUUUUUUUAAUAAAUAGAACAUUGAUAUAUGAUUAAGUGAUCCA
rnacentral:rRNA from 1 species